rnacentral:ncRNA from 1 species
AGUUUUAUUCUUGCUAAGUUAUUUAUUUUUUACUUUAUUUUAUAUGUAAGUUUGUUGCUUGAUUAAUUUAGUUUAUUAUUAUCUUAAUGAUUAAUUAUUUAUUUAUUGUUUUGCAGUUUUUAGUAUUGUAUAUUUAAGAAAUUUAGAUGUAGUUAUAGUUUUAAGUUUUGGUUAAAUUUGUGCCAGCAACCGCGGUUAUACAUUGAAUGCAAUUAAAUAUUUAUAGUUUUAUAGUUAGUUUUUGUUUAUAAGGUUUUUUUAUUAAUUAUUGUUGGGUGAAAUUUUAAUUUUUAUUAAUUAUUGUUUAUUGGUUUUUGAGGCUAUUAAAUCUUUAUUUUAAACUAGGAUUAGAUACCCUAUUAUUAAAUGAUACAAUUUUUAUUUACUUGAGUAGUAUUAGUUAUGAUCUUUAAACUUAAAGAAUUUGGCGGCAUUUUAGUCUGUUUAGAGGAAUCUGUCCCGUUAUCGAUAUUCCGCGUUAAAACUUACUUAACAUUAGGUUUAUAUACCGCCGUUUAAUUAAUGAGAAUCCUUAUUUUAGGUUUAAAUAAUUUUCUGAUUACUUGUGGUGAGUGUUAUUUCAGGUCAAGGUUUAAUUAAUGGUUAAGAGGAGAUGGAUUACAAUAAAUUUUAGUUUAAUUAUGGAUUAUUUUUUGUAAUUUUGAUAUGAAGGUGGAUUUAAUAGUAAUUUUGCUUAGUAUGGUUUGAUGAUUUUAGCUCUAAAAUGUGUACACAUCGCCCGUCACUCUCGUUUAUUUGAUGAGAUAAGUCGUAACAUAGUAGUUGUACUGGAAAGU